ACCCGAGUGGCGAAAUGGUUACCGCGUCUGCCUUCUAGGAAAAAAUCGCCUAAGCAGAAGACUGCGGGUUCGAGUCCCGCCUUGGGUU